GUUUUGAGCCAGCCCGAAAAUGUUGGGCUGUGUUGUUGGGUUUCGAAGGAACGGACGACAUUGCGAUGAAAUAACACAUUUAUACCCGUGAAUAAGACGAGCGUGAACCAUAUAUUUUUAUAUUGUUGUUAGUUAUCUUCCGACUGAGUUGGGAAACCGUGUCUUCGACCGCCGCUACCGGGGAGUUAGUCUCGUUUCCCGGAGUGAUGUCCAACCCCGGGACCCGGAGGACCGGGUCCAGCAUCAAGAUCCGUCUGACAGGUAAGAUACCCGUGUUACCCCACAGGUCGGGUUAAAGUCCGACUUAUUGUUCACUAUUAUCACACGUAUUCCCCCACACGAUCCCACGGCGGGUGUCUGGUCGCCGGGGUCAUUCCUGCGGUGUCUGUGAAUCCUCUGGUGCUAAACAUCCGGUUGUUGAACACCAACACUGUAGCGCUGCUAGCCGUUAGCUGCUAGCAGUUAGCGGCGGCGCUAGCUCCCGACCGGGGCUCCUGGAGGACGAGCCGGGGCUAACGGCAUCCAGGCUGCCGGUCCUCCUGUGAGCCUGUCUGCGUGCUAACUAGCUGUUAGCAACCGGAGCCAAGGAUCGGUUCCUUGUCCCCGUUCAUCCAGGGCUCCAUAGUCCGGUUCGCUGCUUUGUACUCGUUCUUUAUACACCUUUAGUGACCGCUCGAGUGAAGCCUGGUUCAUCUGGUCAACUCAACUGUUGAGCACGGGCCUUUCUGAGGAGCGAUAUCUGACAUGGUGGUCUGAGUGAUCCGUGUCAUACCGGGGCCACCGGUGGCUUAUAACCAGAGAGCAUGAACCGUGUUGUGUAUCCGCUCAGACGCUCCUGGAUGAUGAAAAGGGGAAGAAGGGGGAUGUGGGGUACACAGACACCCGGACACAGAUGGAGGGGGUACACAGACACCCGGACACAGAUGGAGGGGGUACACAGACACCCGGACACAGAUGGAGGGGGUACACAGACACCCGUACACAGAUGGAGGGGGUACACAGACACCCGUACACAGAUGGAGGGGGUACACAGACACCCGUACACAGAUGGAGGGGGUACACAGACACCCGUACACAGAUGGAGGGGGUACACAGACACCCGUACACAGCUGGAGGGGGUACACAGACACCCGUACACAGCUGGAACAAUGGUUUCCAGUGUAGCCUCUGUUGUAACCCCGCUGGGCCCUCAGGAGCCGCCAUUCAGAUGGAAAUGUCCCCACAGCGCCACUUGCCAGACGCCUUGACCGCUGCGCCCUAGGUUCACAGCGAACACAAAGUAUACCCGGAACCGCGGCUUCAUAUUCCUAGCAGUGGUUGGUUGUGCGUGAAGGCCGAUGAGUGUUACUGUAAGGAUGGACUGUUACUUUGAGGGUUGAGUGUGUUACCGUGAGGGUUUACGGUGAGGGCUGAGUGUGUUACGGUGAGGGCGGAGUGUGUUACGGUGAGGGCGGAGUGUGUUACGGUGAGGGCGGAGUGUGUUACGGUGAGGGCGGAGUGUGUUACGGUGAGGGCUGAGUGUGUUACGGUGAGGGCUGAGUGUGUUACCGUGAGGGUGGAGUUUUACGGUGAGGGCUGAGUGUGUUACCGUGAGGGCUGAGUGUGUUACCGUGAGGGUGGAGUGUUGCUGUGAGGGUUGAGUGUGUUACCGUGAGAGUGGAGUUUUACGGUGAGGGUGGAGUGUGUUACCGUGAGGGUGGAGUGUGUAACCGUGAGGGUGGAGUGUGUUAGGGUGAGGGUUGAGUGUGUUACUGUGAGGGUGGAGUUUUACUGUGUGCUGAUCGUGCUCUUAGGUUUGGCGCUCUGUGUUGCACAGGUGUCCGUCCGUCCUAUGAUUUAAAUCAGAUUACGGACAUUAGUCGUUCCUGACCGCUGCUCUGGGGGUCAUCUUGAGUUGUAUUGUGUGUGUUGUCCACAGUGGGAUCCCCAGUGGUUGGUUAGCUUCGUAGACCGGUGCGUUUUAAGUCCUGCUCUCUGCGGCGGAGGUUAUCGCCCCGAGCAGAGCCCCUCCCCCUCUGCAUGUAGGAGUGGAAUUCUUAUUGGACGAGGAAUGUUGGAUGAGCCAAUGGGAGCGCGUCGCUGGUGCCCGUCGCCUUGUGUUUAGUCUGUCAGAGCGGGGCUGGUUGGCGCUGUUCAGACAGCCCGGCGUUCAGAGCCAGACGGCUGCAGGCCCCACAUUGUUGUGAGCAGCAGACGCUGUGGUCGUCUGACAGCCACACACGCGCUGUUUUGUCUGUCCGUAUUCCGGGCGUGAUGAUAUGUUUAAGUUGGUGGUGGGUAGGUCUGGUAUGAGACAGAAGAACUUUAUGAAAACAUGUUUGAGGCCCUUUUGGUCCCCCUGGCUUCAUCCUGAGUCCUCUGUCUUUAUGUAUUUGUAGAGUUUCUGAGUACACAGUAAAAUAAAUAAUCAUAAUAACAAAAAUAGCAAUGAAAGUGACGUCCAGGUGUGGAGGAGAGAGGAUCGCUAGUGAGAGAGGGCUGCCUGACCAGAGGAGAUCAGGGGCUGGUGAAGUAGCACUAGCUCUGUUUAAUUAGCUAGUGCCCCCCCUCCAGUGACAGCCAUUGUUUUUGGUUUGGCUCUAACUUAACCGGUAAUGUUUGCUUGGUGGGGUUGGAUAAGUU
ensembl:lncRNA